rnacentral:rRNA from 1 species
UACGGAGGGGGCUAGCGUUGUUCGGAAUUACUGGGCGUAAAGCGCGCGUAGGCGGAUCUGCAAGUCGGGGGUGAAAUCCCGAGGCUCAACCUCGGAACUGCCUUCGAUACUGCGGGUCUCGAGUCCGGGAGAGGUGAGUGGAAUUCCUAGUGUAGAGGUGAAAUUCGUAGAUAUUCGGAAGAACACCAGUGGCGAAGGCGGCUCACUGGACCGGUAUUGACGCUGAGGUGCGAAAGCGUGGGGAGCGAACAGG